rnacentral:rRNA from 1 species
CGGGUGAGUAACACGUGGAUAACCUACCUAUAAGACUGGGAUAACUUCGGGAAACCGGAGCUAAUACCGGAUAAUAUUUUGAACCGCAUGGUUCAAAAGUGAAAGAGGUCUUGCUGUCACUUAUAGAUGGAUCCGCGCUGCAUUAGCUAGUUGGUAAGGUAACGGCUUACCAAGGCAACGAUGCAUAGCCGACCUGAGAGGGUGAUCGGCCACACUGGAACUGAGACACGGUCCAGACUCCUACGGGAGGCAGCAGUA